rnacentral:lncRNA from 1 species
GGAGGGGGAAGGGAAACUGGAAGGAAGCUGGAUGGAGAACAGGAUUGAUGGGUUUAACCAACAGAAUGAGGUUCUAAAGGGAAAGAAAGGGAAAUCUAUUGAUCCAAUUUUGGGGUUUAACCUUGAGGGGAGGGUGUCACCAGGAGAACAACAGAGAAAUAAAUUCUGGUCUUAUCAAAUGCAAAUGGAUAUGGAGCAGGCUCUUGAAGAUGAAACUUUAAUAGGGGAAGAGGGAAAAAAGAGAAAUAAAGGGGAGAUGGAAGGUGUACAUUCCUUGAUAUCGGCGGCUGCCAAGAGGCAUGCCGACCGGGCACAAUGAAAAUCUUAAGUUG